UACACAAGUCUUUUCCAAGUCGGGAACCCGU
rnacentral:piRNA from 1 species